rnacentral:rRNA from 1 species
UACGUAGGCAGCAAGCGUUGUUCGGAAUUACUGGGCGUAAAGAGUGUGUAGGCGGUGCUCCAAGUCUGGUGUGAAAUCUCCCGGCUCAACUGGGAGGGUGCGCUAGAAACUGGAAUGCUAGAGGAUGGAAGAGGUAAGCGGAAUUCCUGGUGUAGCGGUGAAAUGCGUAGAUAUCAGGAGGAACACCUGUGGUGUAGACAGCUUACUGGGCCAUUUCUGACGCUGAGACACGAAAGCGUGGGUAGCAAACAGG